rnacentral:lncRNA from 1 species
GUCAUUUACUUAUUUAUUUCUAGAUGGUCCUUCUUUUUCAUGUGUAAUCAUGUUCUUAAUGUUCUUAGGUUGUCUCUUGGGUUAUCUAGCCCUGGUCUGACCUGCUCAUCUUCCUUCUUAUUCCAUGGAGAUGGAAUGAGAAUAAUUAAAACUUUCCUGCUUAAUUGGAUCUUCAGUGCUGGCUUGACAAUUUUCAAGGUUCCAAAGCAUUUCUUUCGAAUGCCUCAAAUCAAUGCUUGCCUCAUUAUUCUUCUCCCAUUUUUUCCUUGAUAGCACAUGAAUAAAUGUGUCCAUGAAUCAGGAAAGUCCACUCACAAGGUGCAGAGUUUCCUUCUGGGGAUUUCUGGGCUCUUGGCUGCUUUCAUUAGUGCUUUUUUUUUUUUUUUUUUUAUCUUAUCCCUUUCUCCAUGAGAUAUAGGUAGAUAGCUAUACUUAUAGGUAUUUAACAAAUAAGAAAACUUGAGUGCUAAGUAGGUUAAAAGACAUGAGACCAGAUUCAUACAUCACUUCUGAGGCAGGUUGAGACUAGAACCCUUAAUCCAUUUAUGCCAGAGGUUGCAGUUUUUUUGUGUGUGAAAAAGAAGACACUGGCAAUGACCUUAAGCAGUAGGAUAUAAAGAACUCCCACAAGCUUAGCAUUCCAAUAACGGAACACCGGGCAUAAAUGCGUUAAUUCACUGCUGUAUUUGUAGAGCAAUAUGGGAGGUUAGAAUGGAUCAUCAUAGGCUCAGGGUCGAAGGGAGAGGAAAAGAAGGAAUUCAGUCUUUUAACCUGCAAGAAAACUCACUCAUGCAGACAGAAGUCCAACAGCAAACAGCACACCAGGGUUGCGACUGAAAUGAAGAGCAGUUGAUCAUUAUUCACCCUGUAUGAAAAUGAUACGACCUAAAAGUUUAACUGAGUAGUACAGUAUUUUGUUUUCUAAAGCCGGAGGUGGGUUGCUGGAAAACAAUGCGGUGUUUGCUGCAGGCUGAGAGGAGGACUGCGAUGUACUACCACCACAGCUCUAACAGGGCACAGAAGAGGACCUCAGUAGAAGACUACAGGUUUCUCCAUGGAGCAGCACAGAGGGUGAACAAAGACCAAGAAAAGCUGUUCAAUACACAAGAAAAUAACACACACACUGUUUCCACGGUAUCUCACGGCAGACAUAACUUCCUAAGCCCACCCACAUCUGCACAGGAACAAAAUUGGAGCUGAAGAAGCAAAAGACUCCAACACUUCCCAAGACAUUUCCAGCUCAAAGAAAACAGAUACUCACAGUGUAGCUGUUCACAGAAAAGGAAGAAUAGAAAUGAAUGUUAUUAACCUCUGUAGAACACAGUAUGUCUCAGCUUUCACACUGGUAGUUCCUCCUGGGAAACUCAGCUGGCCUUUCAGAAACCCACCAGGUCUUCUGACAAACCCAUGUGCAGGCCAGAUGUUAUCUGUCUCUUGAUGCUACAAUAUAAAACUAUAUUUUCCUUAUAGACUAAGAUCACCUAUCAUGACAAUACCUUUUCACGAAGAAAAAUUAAUUAUUAAGUAUAACUGCUUUAUCUCUGGCUUCAUAGGCAUACUGUGUCUUUCAGGCUAACAGUAUUCAUAGGCAUACUGUGUCUUUCAGGUUAACUUCUCACAAGAGGAGAGUAAUCCUAUUAUUAGAUAAUUUUCUAUUCCCGUUAAUUGCAUAAUCACAGGUCCAUACCGAUAGAAACUAAGGAAUGUUUUGUGGGAUGCUGAUUCAAAAAUGUCAACAGUUAAUCAAAGCUACCUGUUACUAUAAUUGUAUUGAUUUUCUUUUCAACCUCAGAGACAAAGCUUCUCAAAUCACUUGGACAUCUGGUAAAGUUAUCGUUGACAUUCUCGGAUUAUAGGAAUAUAUAUUUCGCACGGCUAGAAAAGUCUUAAUUGGGAUGACUGGGAUAAAGUUGUGCUUAUUUAGUCUUCAGCUUAUUUGGUCUACUUUUCCUUGCUUGCCCAACUCAGCUGGUAUUAGCAAGAGAACAAAGAGACCUACAGACCAUUUCAAUGAUACUGGGCAUCCUGAGCAAUUUGAAAUGCAUUUUUGUUAAGUCGCCUUGCUCCUCAAGUGUCUGAAUAUCUUUUGCAGGGUUUUUUGUUCUUUUUACCUUGAUAAGGACCAUACUGUGACAAAAUUAUGGCACGCAGUAAUCAAAGCAAAACUACAGCUCACUUUCUUAAUAAUACCGGCAAGAAAAGAAAUACGAUAAGCUAUGUUUAGUGCAGAAAACAGGGCUAAAAAUUAAGAGAAUCAACAUUUCAACUUGUGGUUGAGGAUCAUUACAAAUAAAUUUAAAAACAGAAAGUGUGAGACGAAUAUCACGAGUCAGUUUUAUUUUGCUUUAACACCAUA